GCCCCCGAGCCUGCGGCGGGCGGCAGCUCCCCGUCCAUGCUCCCCUCUUGCCCGAGGCAGUCAUGUGAGGCGGCGCCGACAGCCGCCGGGACCCUUGGCGGACGCCCUCCCCUUCCUCCCCAGCGCCCGCCCGCCUGCCUUCUUUCCCCUCAGCCCGGCGGUGGAGGCGGAGGCGGUGGAGGAGGCGGGGAGGCGGCUCGCUCCGGCCGGGGACGGGAGAGCGGGUUCCUGGCAGCCUUUGGGCGGCUAUGAAGAAGCCGGGCUGGUUGCGGGCCGGAGUCGAACGAGCCCCGGCCCCUGGUUGCGGUUUAUUUUUCCUUCCUUUUUUCCGCCGCCGCCCCCCCCCCCACCUUGCGGGCAGCAGCGCGUGAGCGGCUUAUGGCUACUGGCUUACACGCUGGCUUGCCCCGUUGAAUUCGGGGAGGAGGAGCACAAGGGCGCCGCCGCAGCCGCAGGUGUAUCCCAGCAUGAAGUAUGCAGCGUAUUGCACUCAGCAACUUACAAAACGAAGAUGGAAGAGGAGAUAUUAAUGUAAAGCUUACCUAGAGGGGCAGAUAGGAUCUGUGCUGCUGAGACGACGGUGCACCAAAAGGAUGGCAAGAGAAUCCACGCAAGCAAGAAGAACAUUGUGAGGCAGAAGAGCACAAGGACUAUAAAAUCGUAAGCAGACAGUGAAGACCUUCCACGUUCUUUUCUAUUGCUGUAGUCAAUAAAAUCAAACCAGGUGAUAAAAA